rnacentral:lncRNA from 1 species
GUUUUUCAUUUCCAUUGUUCACACCUGAAUUCCCUAUGAGAUGCUGGCAAAAGAGCUUCUCCCAUCAACAACGCAAGCAUGAAAGGGGUAGCUUUCCUGGACUUCAUUCUUCUGUCUUUGCCACUGUGUUUGCUCCACUUAGUGUCUGCCUUUGUGCCGACGGACUCUCAUUAUUUCUCUCAGCACUCCCAUUUCUUUGGAGAAAUCAUACCUGCAGGGGCAAUCUCAUUUGACUGCUUCCAGAAUGUCUGUUUUUCAAUCCUGACUUUGUACCUCUUUGGAGAAUUGAAAGGAGGAGGAGUGCUUUUAGCUUUAGACAUUUCCAGUAAUGUGGAUUUUCCCUUUAAAGGUCAGUAACUUGCAGUAUUAGGACAUAUGCAAAAUGUCUCUUAGGUGGCAUAAAUGAGACAGAGGGGUUAAAUGAUGCCCCCAGGUGCACGGUAGAAGCUGGUGUCAGGUUGCAGCCCAGAGCUGAACAGAAUUUGGAUUUUGGAACCUUUUUCAGGGUAUGGAUGAUGAUACUGUCAACUCCUCUGCAUUCAGUUUUAAACAUAACACCCUGGUUCCCUCAUGUCCGGCAGAAAAGUCCAAACCAGUGUAAGCACUUAGAUGGUAAUGGCAAGGAGAAGGAGUAGUGGCAGCAAAAUGGAAGGUUCUGAUGAUUCAGUGCAUUUUGUACUUUUUUGGUCGCUGCAAACUUUGACAACUCUAACUGUGUGCUACAAGACUAUCUAUACAGCUUUCACGUGCAUUUCUAUAACUUUUUUACCCAUUAUUAUAUUUUAAAAAAGAAUUUACCUGGAUAAGUUUGCAUGCAGAAUGCUCAUAUUGAGAGAAUGAGAAGGAAAGAAAGUCUUGAUUGGACAUAGGAGUCUUAGCUGGGCUAGGAGCUCUGUACAAGCUCCACAGAUUUAAUCCAGAGAGGACUCGAGGAUGCAGUCAUGCUGCUGUCAUACAUUGGGUGGGAAUGGACUGCACUGCAAGUGUUGCCUGGGGCGGCUCUUUGUGUGGACAAGAAGACUGAUGCAGGUUUCCUGAGGCUAUCCCUUGGAAACCCAUUAAAUCUGAAGAAGAAACCAAAGCGUAGUCUCCCAGGGCUGACUUCAAGGGUGCAGCGAAAGUCCAGAUCUCUAAUGCAUCCCUUUCCCCUCAUUCCUGACAUGCAUCUUGCGUGGACUCAGUGUAUAAACCAUCCCCAAGCGUUCCUUCUGCCAGGGUCUCUUAUAUUCAUACCUCUGGCUCUCCUCAGGCAGCAGCAUGAAGCCGGCAUGAAUCUUAUAUUGUUUGCUACUCGUCGCCUCUUCAAACACUCCAGAGGAGUGUUCCUUAUUCCACAGAAAUCACAGGCAGCCGUUCUUCUUAGAGGUGCUUUGUGCUGCUUCCUGCUCAGCCUGGGAAGGUGGAGUUACGCUGACCUACUCUAA